rnacentral:rRNA from 1 species
UACGAAGGGGGCUAGCGUUGCUCGGAAUCACUGGGCGUAAAGGGUGCGUAGGCGGGUCUUUAAGUCAGGGGUGAAAUCCUGGAGCUCAACUCCAGAACUGCCUUUGAUACUGAAGAUCUUGAGUUCGGGAGAGGUGAGUGGAACUGCGAGUGUAGAGGUGAAAAUUCGUAGAUAUUCGCAAAGAACACCAGUGGCGAAGGCGGCUCACUGGCCCGAUACUGACGCUGAGGCACGGAAAAGCGUGGG